UUACAUGUUCUCAUAGCUGAACUCAUGACAUUUUAGCAAGGCUUCAUAGUUAUGCACAACUAUCUAGCAGCAAGGGCUUAGGUAAACUUAUACAGGUUUCCAAACCGUAAUAACCUC